rnacentral:tRNA from 1 species
GUUUCUAUAGUGUAGUGGUUAUCACAUCCGCCUCACACGCGGAAGGUCCUGGGUUCGAGCCCCAGUAGAAACA